UUGCUCCCUAGCAGAUCAGCGGCGGACGGGUGAGUAACACGUGGGUAACCUGCCUGUAAGACUGGGAUAACUCCGGGAAACCGGGGCUAAUACCGGAUAAUUUAGUUCCUCGCAUGAGGAACUGUUGAAAGGUGGCUUCGGCUACCACUUUCCGAUGGAACCCCGGCCCCAUAACUUGUUGGGGAAGGUACGGCUCCCCAAGGCCACCAUGCGUAACCCAACUGAAAAGGUGAACGGGCCCCUGGGACUGAAAACCGGCCAAACUUCUACCGGAAGCAGCAGUUAGGAAUCCUCCGCCAUGGACGAAAGUCCGACGGAACCACGGCGCGUGAUUAAGAAAGUUUUCGGAUCUUAACUCUGGUGUUAGGGAGACAAUGCCGUUCGAUAGGGCGCACCUUGACGGUACCUAACCGAAGCCAGGCUAACUACAUGCCACAGCCGCGGUAGUACGUAGUGGCAAGCGUUGUCAGGAAUAGUGGCGUAAGCGCGGCAGUGUUCUAAGUCGAUGGAAGCCACGCUACCUGAGGUCAUGGAACUGGUACUGAUGCAAAGGAAUGCAUCAUACGUGAUGCUACUUAGAGAGCAUGCAGCACUACUUUCCUGGUCUGUAACUGACACUGAGGCGCGAAGCGUGGGGAGCAAACAGGAUUAGAUACCUGGUAGUCCACGCCGUAAACGAUGAGUGCUAAGUGUUAGAGGGUUUCCGCCCUUUAGUGCUGCAGCUAACGCAUUAAGCACUCCGCCUGGGGAGUACGGUCGCAAGACUGAAACUCAAAGGAAUUGACGGGGGCCCGCACAAGCGGUGGAGCAUGUGGUUUAAUUCGAAGCAACGCGAAGAACCUUACCAGGUCUUGACAUCCUCUGACAACCCUAGAGAUAGGGCUUUCCCCUUCGGGGGACAGAGUGACAGGUGGUGCAUGGUUGUCGUCAGCUCGUGUCGUGAGAUGUUGGGUUAAGUCCCGCAACGAGCGCAACCCUUGAUCUUAGUUGCCAGCAUUCAGUUGGGCACUCUAAGAUGACUGCCGGUGACAAACCGGAGGAAGGUGGGGAUGACGUCAAAUCAUCAUGCCCCUUAUGACCUGGGCUACACACGUGCUACAAUGGACGGUACAAAGGGCAGCGAGACCGCGAGGUUUAGCCAAUCCCAUAAAACCGUUCUCAGUUCGGAUUGCAGGCUGCAACUCGCCUGCAUGAAGCUGGAAUCGCUAGUAAUCGCGGAUCAGCAUGCCGCGGUGAAUACGUUCCCGGGCCUUGUACACACCGCCCGUCACACCACGAGAGUUUGUAUCACCCGAAGUCGGUGAGGUAACCUCGGGACACAGCA
rnacentral:rRNA from 2 species